GGCGAUCAGGGAGAGGAGAGGGCUUAAGUGAGAGAUCGGGGGUUAGAACCAGCUGCCCAUACAUGAGUUCAAAGGGGCUGGAGAUGGAAAGGGACUAUCUGGGGAGAGCCCAGAGCCUGAGAAGAGCCAGAGCCUAGAGCUUUACCCAGUCAAGGUGAAGUUCCUGUUGACAGUUUGACAUGGAUGUUUUUAAAGACGCAGUUAGUUCAUUCUAUCUUUCCUGAGGACUGGAGGUAGUAUGGGACAUGGAAAUGCUGAGGGAUGUUAAGAGCUUUAGACAGGGUUUGGGUGAUCUGAGAGGUGAACUCAGGACCACUCUGACUGAAGAGAGGCUGCACCAAUGUCAUCAGCAGCAUGAGGAGGACCUUGGCGGAUCUCAUGGCCGGUGAGAGACAAAUACGCCAUGCAGCCAGAACUUACAUGUCAUUAUGGAGGAAAAUAUUGGAAGAGGAAGAAAAAUAAAAUGAGAAUGGGAAGGAAAAGGAGCAACACCAGGUUGAACUCAGUGCACUUAUCCAUUAUCUUCUUGGAGAGAUGUUUCUACCACAAACACAUAAAAGUGCUACAGUAAGCAAACAACAGGAGAAAGGGUGUCCUUAAUUUGAAGCUGCUUGUCUGCCAAGGCUUGAGACAUUUGCAGGAGGAGCAUUCUUCUGUUGUGAGCAGGAUUCCCCGAGCUCAUCCACCAUGAUCAAGUGGGCUUCAUCCCUGAGAGAUGCCAGAGGUGGUUCAAUAUGCAAAAAUCUACUAAUGUAAUCCACCUUUUAAUCAAACUGAAAGAGAAAAAAAACAUGAUCAUCUCAUCUCAUUAGAUGCUGAAAAAAUUCACAGAAACAAUACCCUUCACAAUAGCCACAAACAAUAUAGAAUAUCUUGGGGAUAACUUUAAACAAGUCAGUGAAAGACCUAUACGACAAGAACUUCAAAUCUUUCAAGAAAGAAACUGUAGAUGAUAUCAGAAGAUGGAAAGAUCUCCCAUGUCCAUGGGUCAGUAGGAUUAGCAUAGUUAAACUGGCUAUCUUACCAAAAGCAAUCUACAGAUUCAGUGAAACCCCCAUCAAAAUACCAGCACAAUUCUUUACAGACUUUGAAAGAACAAUACUCAAUCCCAAAUGGGAAAAACAAGAAAGCCAGGAUAGCUAAAACAAUCCUGUACAAUGAGAGAACUGCUCGAAGUAUCACCAUCCCUAAUCUCAAGUUUUACUACAGAGUUAUAGUAGUGAAAACAGCACUGUGUUGGCAUAAAACAAAUAGGUGGAUCAAUGGAAUUGAAUUGAAGACCCAGACAUAAAUCCACACACCAAUGGAUACCAGAUUUUUAACAGAAUUAUUACACACAUUUAUACAAAAUUAUACAAUGGAAAAAUGAAAGUAUCUUCAACAAAUGGUGCUGGUCUAACUGGAU